UGGGGAAUAUUGCGCAAUGGGGGAAACCCUGACGCAGCGACGCCGCGUGAGCGAAGAAGGCCUUAGGGUUGUAAAGCUCUGUUUUAAGGGACGAAUGUUACAGGGAGAAAUAUGCCCUGUAAAUGACGGUACCUUAAGAGGAAGCCCCGGCUAACUACGUGCCAGCAGCCGCGGUAAGACGUAGGGGGCGAGCGUUGUCCGGAAUUACUGGGCGUAAAGAGCACGUAGGCGGGAACUUAAGUCAGGUGUGAAAGACCGGGGCUCAACCUCGGGUGUGCACUUGAAACUGGGUUUCUUGAGGGCAGGAGAGGAAAGCAGAAUUCCUGGUGUAGCGGUGAAAUGCGUAGAAAUCAGGAGGAAUACCAGUGGCGAAGGCGGCUUUCUGGACUGACCCUGACGCUGAGGUGCGAAAGCGUGGGUAGCAAACAG
rnacentral:rRNA from 1 species